CCUACGGGUGGCAGCAGUGAGGAAUAUUGGUCAAUGGACGGAAGUCUGAACCAGCCAAGCCGCGUGCAGGAAGACGGCUCUAUGAGUUGUAAACUUCUUUUGUACAAGAGUAAACCUGAAUACGUGUAUUCAUCUGAAUGUACUUUACGAAUAAGGAUCGGCUAACUCCGUGCCAGCAGCCGCGGUAAUACGGAGGAUCCAAGCGUUAUCCGGAUUUAUUGGGUUUAAAGGGUGCGUAGGUGGAUUGAUAAGUUAGAGGUGAAAUGUUCGGGCUUAACUCGAGAACUGCCAGUAAUACUGGUGGCCUAGAGAGUAGAUGAGGUAGGCGGAAUGUAUGGUGUAGCGGUGAAAUGCUUAGAGAUCAUACAGAACACCGAUUGCGAAGGCAGCCUACUAAUCUAUCUCUGACGUUGAGGCACGAAAGUGUGGGGAGCAAACAGGAUUAGAUACCCUGGUAGUC
rnacentral:rRNA from 1 species